rnacentral:rRNA from 1 species
CACGUAGGGGGCAAGCGUUGUCCGGAUUUAUUGGGCGUAAAGAGCUCGUAGGUGGUUCGGUAAGUCGGGUGUUAAACCCCCAGGCUCAACCUGGGGACGCCACUCGAUACUGCUGUGACUAGAGUCCGGUAGGGGAGCGUGGAAUUCCUGGUGUAGCGGUGAAAUGCGCAGAUAUCAGGAGGAACACCGAUGGCGAAGGCAGAUCUCUGGGCCGUAACUGACGCUGAGGAGCGAAAGCGUGGGGAGCGAACAGG